ensembl:lncRNA
CAUUGAUAUUUUAAAAAAUGUUAAAACACGUUACAGGGGCAUUGCCACUAUAAACCCAGCCCAACUUUUAGAACCAUACAAUUCUUUAAAGGGUUUUAAUCCAUCAUCCCAAAGCUCACUUCUCCUAAGGGGACAAAGAAGGAUGCAAAAAUCCAAAACAAUAAUGAGGCUUGCUGCAACAUCUGCAUAGUGCCAAGGUAUCUAUAGAAGGUAUAGAAAUGAUCUGAAUAUACAGAAAUGUGAAAAACCACACACAAAUUGUAAUAGGUGAGAAAUUUUAAGAGAUGAGAAAAAAAUUCAAUGAUAUAGAAAUACUGAUAUUAUGACUGGCAAAUUUAAGUGCACAUCUUAAAUAAAUAUAGUAAAAAUCUAACAGUAUACAUAAAUUUGGCUCUGGAAUUCCUUUGGUUACAGAGAUUUAAUUAUUUCGUGUUUUAAAUAAAUAUACUGAAACACAUUACAUAUAGGAACUGUAAGAUCACUCCACUAUAACACAUAAUUAUACCAACAGUAAUGAACGGUGGUGCACAGAUGAAAUGGUUAACAGUGCCAUAUGCUGGAUUCUCUUGGGAACUGGUUCUUCAUAAAUGCAUUAAAUUGAUCUUUAUAUACUUGAUAUUAGUAAAACUAAUGUCUUUCAGUUUCAAAGAAUUCAUUAUUAAUCUCUCUGUACUAAUGACUAAUCCAUUUCACAUUUUAAAAUAUAACUCAAGUCCAGAGAAAUUUUCUAAAUGAGAUUAUUUAAAAUCAUAUUUUACACAACUGAAGAUGUUUAAAAACUCAACUAUUAACUCAAUCAGAAUCUGAAAAAAAAAGUAACUAGCACAAAUAAGGAAACCUGACAGAGGCAUACAACACCUGAUCAUUGCUAUUUACCGAAAGCUAGCUUUCCUAUUAGCUUCCAUCAAAACCAAAAGAUUUAAGAAUUCAUUGGGAUCCCUAACACACAAGCAAGUGUCAUGUCAGAAUGUCAAAACAAAAGUUUUUAUCACUUUCUUAGUUUUGUGUUGGAGAAAUAGCAUAUUACUGAAUGAUCAACACCUGUCCUUUCAUGCAUAAUUUUAGAAAGCAAAAUCAUUUUUGACAUUAUAUAUUUUAAAGGGAAGAAAUAUGGAGAAGGGGUUUUCAAAAGCCCUUGGAGUAAGGUUCAGCACUUCAUAUGAUUAUUAGCAAAUUAAGUUGUUCUGACUUAAAAACAGGCUGUCACCACACAAAAACAAGUUUCGUCAAAGCUUACACUUUUACAGUAUACACAGCAAUGCAUUUAUAUUGUAAAAGGUACUUUUUUAUACAGAGGAAGCAAAACAGAUUUUUUACUGGUUAAUACACAAAGCAGGGAAAAGCUUCCAAUGAUACUAGGCAGUGGCACCUGCUCCUUGUGUGGCUUUCGUCUGUUUUCUGAACAAGAGCUUUGUGUCAGUUCUUCUUUGUCCUCUGCUCCAGUUCAUGCUGGUGUUUAACAAGACGUUCUAUUUCUGUUCCAAGGGUCUGCAGAUUUUCCUUUAAAAAUUGGAAAAAGAAGGAAAAGAAACAGAACUACUAAGUAUAAUAAGUAAAAAGAUUCAGUUUGAACUAUUUUUGCCUACAUUUUCAACUGAAAAGAGUGACGAAUAUUCU